rnacentral:rRNA from 1 species
GCAAGUCGAGCGAAUGAUUAGAGAAGCUUGCUUCUCUCUGAUUAGCGGCGGACGGGUGAGUAACACGUGGGUAACUACCCUAUAGACUGGGAGUAACUUCGGGAAACCGGAGCUAAUACCGGAUAAUACUUCGAAACACAUGUUUUGAAGUUGAAAGAUGGUUUCGGCUAUCACUAUAGGAUGGACCCGCGGCGCAUUAGCUAGUUGGUGAGGUAACGGCUCACCAAGGCAACGAUGCGUAGCCGACCUGAGAGGGUGAUCGGCCACACUGGGACUGAGACACGGCCCAGACUCCUACGGGAGGCAGCAGUAGGGAAUCUUCCACAAUGGACGAAAGUCUGAUGGAGCAACGCCGCGUUGAGUGAAGAAGGAUUUCGGUUCGUAAAACUCUGUUGCAAGGGAAGAACAAGUAGCGUAGUAACUGGCGCUACCUUGACGGUACCUUGUUAGAAAGCCACGGCUAACUACGUGCCAGCCGCAGC